GCUCAGUUGGUUAAGCGUCUGACUCUUGACUUUUGCUCAGGUCAUGAUCUCAGGGUCAUGGGUUCGAGCCCCAUGUUGGGCU
rnacentral:tRNA from 1 species